ACAUUCCUACAUCAUAGUGUUAAUGCACUAGAUCCCAUUAGAACUUCACAGUUAAUUUCACUCAAGAUAGAUUAGUACUAGGAUGGGUGACCGCCCGAGAAGUCCUAACAUGUU
rnacentral:rRNA from 1 species